UACGGAGGGUGCAAGCGUUACUCGGAAUCAUUGGGCGUAAAGCGCACGUAGGCGGUCUCUUAAGUCCGGCGUGAAAUCCUGGGGCUCAACCUCAGAUGGCCGUUGGAAACUAAGAGACUUGAGAAUGGAAGGGGUCAGUGGAAUUCCUGGUGUAGGAGUGAAAUCCGUAGAGAUCAGGAGGAACACCGGUGGCGAAGGCGACUGACUGGGCCAUUUCUGACGCUAAUGUGCAAAAGCGUGGGGAGCAAACAGG
rnacentral:rRNA from 1 species